AAAACAGAGACGAACGCUGGCGGCGUGCUUAACACAUGCAAGUCGAACGGAAAGGCCCUUCGGGGUACUCGAGUGGCGAACGGGUGAGUAACACGUGGGUGAUCUGCCCUGCACUCUGGGAUAAGCCUGGGAAACUGGGUCUAAUACCGGAUAGGACCACACACUUCAUGGUGAGUGGUGCAAAGCUUUUGCGGUGUGGGAUGAGCCCGCGGCCUAUCAGCUUGUUGGUGGGGUAAUGGCCCACCAAGGCGACGACGGGUAGCCGGCCUGAGAGGGUGACCGGCCACACUGGGACUGAGAUACGGCCCAG
rnacentral:rRNA from 1 species